rnacentral:misc_RNA from 1 species
UGUCUAAUAAGAAAAUUUAAUUUAACGAACGAAUCUUUUUAUUAGGGAUAUAUACUCGUUUGAUAGAAAAAUCUUUAAAACAUUUCACAUAAGGUACCUUUCAGAAGAGUUAAAAUCACGAGAAACGACCUCGGUCGUUGCAAUCAAACGUUGCAAUCACGUUGUCAGCAGAAAGAUGUUACGUAAGACGAAAAAGCGGCUACUUGCAUUAAGUCCAUCGAUAUCUGUACGAAACACGAAACGCUCCAGACAGCGAUCGAAUGUAGACUGAGAAUCAUCUUAACGUAGUCCUUUCGUCCUUACUUUCAACGCAUGCGGUAAAAGUUACCUUCCAU